rnacentral:rRNA from 1 species
UGGGAAUAUUGCACAAUGGGCGCAAGCCUGAUGCAGCCAUGCCGCGUGUGUGAAGAAGGCCUUCGGGUUGUAAAGCACUUUCAGCGAGGAGGAAGGGUAGUGUGUUAAUAGCACAUUGCAUUGACGUUACUCGCAGAAGAAGCACCGGCUAACUCCGUGCCAGCAGCCGCGGUAAUACGGAGGGUGCAAGCGUUAAUCGGAAUUACUGGGCGUAAAGCGCACGCAGGCGGUUUGUUAAGUCAGAUGUGAAAUCCCCGCGCUUAACGUGGGAACUGCAUUUGAAACUGGCAAGCUAGAGUCUUGUAGAGGGGGGUAGAAUUCCAGGUGUAGCGGUGAAAUGCGUAGAGAUCUGGAGGAAUACCGGUGGCGAAGGCGGCCCCCUGGACAAAGACUGACGCUCAGGUGCGAAAGCGUGGGGAGCAAACA